UACUAUGAAGCAAGGGAGGGGCCGGCCCAGCUAUUGCUCGGCGUGUACGUAUGAACAAUUUGGGUCUCGUCGGGCCUCAGCUACUAUCUCCGGACAUAGGUCACGGAAAAGGCAGGCCAUUACAAAACGAAGCCCAGCCCAUUGAUGCUUCCAGCUUUUCCCACUAUAUACCCCUGACCAAACCCUAGCUUCUCCCGUUCUCACUCUUCAGCCGGAAAUCGCCCGCAAUGGUUCAAUCCUCCAACGAUUCCCCACAUCCCAAAUCACGCCCCUAGAUCCAGAUCCGGGGAUGACAUAGGCACGAUGAACUCAGUGGGAUCUCUGGAGCUAAUCCCAGAUGUGAGCAAGUUUCAUGUGGUGUAGCAUCUGUUGGUUGUCAUGCAUGAAUGAAGAUUAUUGACUUUAAUUUAGAAGAACUGAGCGAUUUGAGAAGCAAAGAUUAAGUUUUUGUUUUGUGGUACAAGCAUACUGUUUUUACUUAAGUGAAAUUCUCAACCUUGUAUUUGAUUCUUUGUAAUUGUGAUGUACAUUCUUGACUUAAUA